UAAUAAUUAAAUGCUAUCAAA
rnacentral:snRNA from 1 species